ACUGAUGAGUUUCACGUGUUAUUGCAUAGUGUUUAGCUUACUUUAAGUAUGUUUGGUGAGCUAACUGUAGUAUUAGGCUUAUUUCUUGUUAGAUUAUACACUGUUGGUGCCAUGUAUUUUGGAUGAUCGUUAAACUUGAUAAUAAUUCAAUAAGACUCGGUAAUAAUUUGUUGGAAUUAUUAAACUUAGAUUAUACAAGCCUAAGCCAAGGCCCAAUAACGUGAGUAAGGGUAGUGAAUAACAUAAUAAACUGGACUAAAUUAUUAUUUUGAUUAUGUAAUAAUGCCAGUAUUUAAUUUUAAAUAAUAAAAUUUUAAAACGUUGAAAAGUAUGAAACUAAGGAUUGUACUCUACUGGUUACUAAUACUAGUUAAAAGUUUAACGCUUGUAAUUGCCGACUUGCGUAAAAUUCGCGAUCAGACUUCACUAUCUUACUCUUACUAAGUCUUGCACGACUUGGAUCCUACAUUUACUACUAGUAUUAGUUUUACUAAAUACCGCGAUGAAUCGUCAAGAAAAAGCGAACCAUGUCAAGAAGAUGUAAAUAAAGUUUGAAGCACCCAGAGAGAUGAGUUUUCAGAAACUAUUCAACAAGCUUCCCUUUUCUAAAUCCAAAGCUGAGGAAGAACAGAAAAAGCAGUGUAAACCAGUUUUGUCAACAUCAUCUCCAUGUCCUGAGAUGGAUUAUAAAAAAUGUGAAACAAAGUCAUUUGAACUUGCAUCUACAAAAAAUGUUGAAGAAUCUGACAAAAUGUUGCCAAAAAAAAACAAAACACCACAUCUGCUACCAGGUGGAAAUGGGAGUAAGAAGAGAAAAGAAAGGAGUCCAGAUACUGAGGAGGCUGAUACAAAAAUAGAGGUGAAAAAAUCUUUUAUCCAACAUAUUUUUGGAAAACAUUCUACUGACCACUGUCAAGAUAGCAAAGCAUUAUCAAGCUGUCACACUUCAGACAAGAAAAAUUUAUGCACAGAUUCAGAGGAUCACAGCAGUUUUUUACCAGAGAAUAAGUUUCUAAAAUCUUUACAUCAUAGAGCAAAAUCAUUUAAUUUUUAUAGGAGUAAUCAAAAGGAAAAAACAUUUUCAUUAGAACAUUCAUCUACACAAAAAGGACAUGAAAAAGCAGCACAUACUAUUCCGGGAAGUCCAGAUUUAUCGGUUGACAGUUCUUCUGAUAGUUUUUCUGUCUUGGUAUGUUCACAAGAGGACAUCACCUUUGAUUCUAAUCAAAAUUUUUCAUAUUCUUUUGAGGAAAUUGAUGCAAAAGAUGAGGACUGUGAUAAAACUUUGGUGGAAAAUAUUGAUGACUCAGAAGAUGAUUUGGAUCAUAUUGCAACGCUCUCUCAAUCACCUCUUCUCAUAAGAGAUGUUUUCAGAAUUUUAAGUACCACUCAGAAAGUAGGUACUUGCAGUCCUGUGUUGAACAUAAACAACACUGGUGAAAAAGGUGGUAGUCUUCUUCAACCAAAAAGUAUUGAAGAACCUUCAGAGAACUGUAAGCAGAUUAUACAGGUACCUCCUUCAACUCCGAACAUUCACCAACAGUUAAACAGUGAAUUAGAUCUUAUUCAGUAUCAUAAAGGGAAGACAAAUGUAAAAUUAGAAUUUGACAGCUCUGAAGAAGAAGGAGAAAUUAAAGAUGAUGAUGGUGAUUUUAUUUCAAGACCUUAUAAUGGAUCUUAUUUGUCAUGCAAUAUAAAAGAUAAUGCAGUUGAUAAGGAUUCUCAUGGAAAACACAACUCUAAUCAUUCUGAAAACAUUCACCAUUUCACACCACAGUGGACUGAAGGAAGUGUGUAUUCUCGUCAGCUUUUGAAAAUCACUUAUCCUGAAUCACCUUUAGGUUCAUCAACAAGUAAUGUAGAUAACCAAAGAGAAUUUUCAUCAUCACCUCCCUGGUUACACCAAAAAAGGGAUAGAAAUUCAAACAGUGACAACAUAGAAGUGGAACGAGUAAAAGAUCUUUCAUUCUCAUUUGAUGUUUCUCUUGCUGCAUCAUGUAACAGAUCUCUUGAAGUGAAUGCAUACAGUCAGGUUGACAAAUGGCCCUUCAAGUCACCUCGUGUAACACCUCCGUGCACUAAUAAAAAUCUGCAACGUCACCUCAGUUGGGGAAGUGUGAGAGACAAAAGUACAUCUUUAGCUGAUAUAAGUCCAUAUCUUGCUUCUGUAACUUCUCCAUCUACUUCUACAAUCUCUAGAAAAUUGACUUCACGGUUUAAGUUACCUCAGUACAAUAUUAAUGGACUGAUGUCCUUCGAGCCAGGAGUAGACAUCAUAGAUACUCAUUGUCAUUUGGAUUUCUUGUUUCGACGUAUUGGUUUUAAAGGAACUUACUCUCAGUACCAAUUAGUCAAUAAAGACACAUAUCCAGUUUGCUACGGUGGCUGCAUCACAGACUUUUGUGAUCCAAGUACCUUUGGUUUGCCAAUAUUAUGGAAAGAUCUUUUAGAAGAGGAUAAAAUAUGGGCCACAUUUGGAUGCCAUCCUCACAUGGCAGAACAGUAUAAUCCUGAAAUUGAAAUGCACCUGAUUGAUGCUCUACAACAUGACAAAGUAGUUGCCUUGGGAGAAGUUGGCUUAGAUUACUCUCCAAAGAACAGUUGUGCUCGAAAGAUUCAACAUCAUGUGCUGAGAAAACAGCUGAAGAUAGCAGUUGCCCACAAUGUUCCUAUUGUGAUUCACUGUAGAGAUGCUCAUGAAGACUGUUUAAAAAUUUUAAAAGAGGAAGUGCCCUGUGACCACUUCAUUCAUCGUCAUUGUUUCACUGGUAACUGGGAUGAGGCUAUCUUAUGGUUAGAAACAUUUCCAAAUCUCUACAUUGGUUUAACAGCUUUAGUGACUUUCCCUGCAGCCACAGAUGUACAUGAAGUUGCUCGUAAAGUUCCGCUGAACAGGCUUCUUCUUGAGACAGAUACACCUUAUUUUCUUCCCAGAUUAGCACCAAGAAAAAUGAAGUGGUCUCAUCCUGGGAUGGUUAUCCAUGUGGCAGCUCAGAUUACUAAACUAAGGGAAACAACUUCUCUUAAUGAGAUCCUGAAAAUUGUUCGCUGUAAUACAAGAAGAAUGUAUAAAAUAUAAUGUUCUUUUGUUGUUCUUAUAUCAGUUUGAGUUGAAGCAGUGGCAGUAGACUUGUGAAUUUCUGAAGAUGAAUAAAGCAAUACUAUAGUGAGAUUUUGAUAUGCAUAUGAUAAAAAAUGUCUGUACGUUGUUGCAUACAGAGAGUUGCACUAAGAGCUAAAUUGGAGACGUAUGUCUGUGGAAUGCCUGGGUAAAAGUAAGAGGAAUAUAGAAACAAUGCUUGCACGUACCUGAACUGAGUCUCAGUGAAACCAUAAAUC
rnacentral:misc_RNA from 1 species